GUACUUAUUGGAGUACACAAUCAAAACAGAACAAAGUCAGCUGAUCGUAAAUUGCAUUAGAUGCAAAUUUGAUGCUGCUAAUUGGAAUGCAUAAAUAUAAAAAGCUGCUGCAAAGCAAAAUGAAAGGGAGCGCAAAUAUUGAAGACAAUUGAAUUGCAUAGAUUGCAAACUGACUGGCAAAGUACAUCCACUGCAGCAAGGAGGAUUAGCCAAGUGGGCUCCGCAGCCAAUAGGGCAUGAAUUUAAGUUAGUUUUAAGUUCGUUUAAAUUGCAUAUUGUAGGCGCAAGCGCCACUAUAUCUGUUCGAUGCACAUAUGUAUAUACAAAUGUGUU
rnacentral:sRNA from 1 species